rnacentral:snRNA from 1 species
GUGUUCUGCACAACAGCACAUAUAUUAAAAUUGAAAUGAAACAGAAGAUUAGCCUAGCUUGUAUAAGGGGGAAAACCAAAUUUGUGGAAAACCAAAUUUUU